ACAAAGUUUUGGAGUCCAGUAGCCAGAUCAGCAAUGUUUUCUGCCAGAGGUAGCCACUCGUUACCCAGGUGGUUGAGCCCCUGAGCCUUGAGUGGUCUUCUGGUCUUAAGCAGAGAUGGGAGACUGGAACAGAAAGAUGAUAAUCGUAGUCAGGCAAGCCGAGGUCAGUGGGAAGGAGAAGCAGCAAAGUCAAAACAGUCCAAAUUCAGCAACAGGAAGGAGAAACAGGAAC